rnacentral:rRNA from 1 species
UACAGAGGGGGCAAGCGUUAUUCGGAAUUAUUGGGCGUAAAGGGCGCGUAGGCGGUGUAGUAAGUCAGAUGUGAAAGCCCUGGGCUUAACCCAGGAAGUGCAUUUGAAACUCCUACACUUGAGUAUGGGAGAGGAGAGUGGAAUUCCCAGUGUAGAGGUGAAAUUCGUAGAUAUUGGGAGGAACACCCGUGGCGAAGGCGACUCUCUGGACCAAUACUGACGCUGAGGCGCGGAAGCGUGGGGAG